rnacentral:rRNA from 1 species
GAUGAACGCUGGCGGCGUGCUUAACACAUGCAAGUCGAACGGAAAGGCUCCUGCUUGCCGGGGUACUCGAGUGGCGAACGGGUGAGUAACACGUGGGUGAUCUGCCCUGCACUUCGGGAUAAGCCUGGGAAACUGGGUCUAAUACCGGAUAGGACGAUGGUUUGGAUGCCAUUGUGGAAAGUUUUUCGGUGUGGGAUGAGCUCGCGGCCUAUCAGCUUGUUGGUGGGGUAAUGGCCUACCAGGGCGUCGACGGGUAGCCGGCCUGAGAGGGUGUACGGCCACAUUGGGACUGAGAUACGGCCCAGACUCCUACGGGAGGCAGCAGUGGGGAAUAUUGCACAAUGGGCGCAAGCCUGAUGCAGCGACGCCGCGUGGGGGAUGACGGCCUUCGGGUUGUAAACUCCUUUCGCUAGGGACGAAGCGCAAGUGACGGUACCUGGAGAAGAAGCACCGGCUAACUACGUG